UACGUAGGGACCAAGCGUUGUUCGGAUUUACUGGGCGUAAAGGGCGCGUAGGCGGCGCGGUAAGUCACUUGCGAAAUCUCUGAGCUUAACUCAGAACGGCCAAGUGAUACUGCAGUGCUAGAGUGUGGAAGGGGCAAUCGGAAUUCUUGGUGUAGCGGUGAAAUGCGUAGAUAUCAAGAGGAACACCUGAGGUGAAGACGGGUUGCUGGGCCAACACUGACGCUGAGGCGCGAAAGCCAGGGGAGCAAACGGG
rnacentral:rRNA from 1 species